rnacentral:rRNA from 1 species
CUACACAUGCAAGUCUUACGCGAACGCAGGCUUCGGCCUGUCAGUAGCGUGGCAGACGGGUGAGGAACACGUGGGUAACCUGCCCGGAGGUGGGGGAUAACCUUUCGAAAGGAAGGCUAAUACCGCAUAACAUCUCGUGCUCCCCGGAGUGCGAGAUCAAAGCUAGCCUCUGUUUCAUGCUAGUGCCACCGGAGGGGCCCGCGUCCCAUUAGCUUGUUGGUGAGGUAACGGCUCACCAAGGCUCCGAUGGGUAGCCGGCCUGAGAGGGCGAUCGGCCACACUGGAACUGAGACACGGUCCAGACUCCUACGGGAGGCAGCAGUGAGGAAUAUUGCGCAAUGGGGGAAACCCUGACGCAGCGACGCCGCGUGGAGGAUGAAGGCCUUCGGGUCGUAAACUCCUGUCGAGAGGGACGAAAGCUGGAGAGGUUAAUAGCCUCUUCGGUUGACGGUACCUCCAAAGGAAGCCCCGGCUAACUCCGUGCCAGCAGCCGCGGUAAUACGGAGGGGGCCAGCGUUGUUCGGAAUUACUGGGCGUAAAGGGCGUGUAGGCGGCCUGGAAAGUCGGACGUGAAAUCCCUCGGCUCAACCGAGGAACUGCGUCCGAAACUGCCAGGCUUGAGUCCCGGAGAGGGUAGCGGA